GGCUUGGAACCGGCGGUCGGCGCCGGAGGGUGGCGGGGAGCGGCGACGGGGUCGGCACCGCGGACCGGAGGUCGGUGCCGGCGGUGAAGUCGGGUCGGCGCCGAAGGACAGCGGUGGCGCCGGGGACCGGGGACCGGUGCGGGAGAGAGGGAGAGAGGGUCGGCGCCGGAGGUCGGCGCCGGAGCCGGAGGUUGGGUCGGGUCGGCGCCGACGGUCGGCGACGGCGACAGGGGCCGGUGACCCAAAGUGUUUGAUAUAUGCCUGUGUCAACUGAAUAAUCAUUCAAUUAUUCAUUGUAUUUCUUUUUCCACAGGUGUUUUUUAAGUUUCUCAUCUAUAAGGUAUAAUAUUCACUUUUAUUGGUCUGUAUUUGUGAUUAUUAUAUGCGUGGUACGAUCAUUAUGAUUCCUUCUCGCUUUGUCAUCUACUCUCAAGAUUUAUAUUAAUCAAUAGAUCUCUGCGCCCUGCCAAUUUGCUAAGUACACUCACCCUACCAAGGGACUACAAAGGCUAGAACUCUCUACCAAAAAUAGGAAUCUACUUCUCAUCCUAGGAGUUAGCAGGUAUGAAAGAGUCCCCUCUCUAUCUAUCUCUCUGAGUUUCUUCUACAAAGUAGCAUUUCUGCUAUUCAAUCAUAGAAUUGAUUCCAAUCCAGAUGAAAAAAGUCAGUCCUAUAUAUGUUUGUUAUUAGUAAAGCCCUAAGUCCCAAUCUACAAUAUGGGUCCUUAAUAUGUACGAUAAGAGCGAAAAUAAUGUGGUACUAGCAACGGAUAAACAGUAUAGCUCAUGCACCAUAUGCAGGAAGUAGAGCUUUGCCUACUUUUUUGAAUUUUAUGACCAACUUUGUUGAGGUAAAAAUAUGAAAAAUAAACACUUUAGUUUAGUAUUUCUAUUUUGAAAAAGAGUCUUGGCGUAACGGGUUCAAACUAUGGAAACACCCUCUUGCAGAAAUGCAGGGUUAGGUUGCGUACAACAGACCUUACGGUCCGGCCCUUCUCACGAUCCCCAACAUAGCGUGAGCUUUAGUGCACUGAGCUUCCUUUUAGUUCAUUUGAUUGAAACUAACUUAAUUUUCUUUUCAAUUGUUUUAUUCUGGAGACACUAUUGAAUUCUCUUUAAAUCCUCAAAGGAAAAAGAGCAAAUAACAAUUCUCAAAGAUGUAAGUGGUAUUCUUAAGCCAUCUAGAAUGACUCUACUUUUGGGACCUCCAAGUUCUGGAAAGACUACUUUGUUAUUAGCAUUGGCUGGAAAACUUGAUCCUGCUUUAAAGGUUACUGGUAACGUGACUUAUAAUGGACAUGAGCUACAUGAAUUGUGCCACAAAGAAUAGUUGUUUAUAUCAGUCAUCAUGACUUGGAUAUUGGAGAAAUGACUUGGAUAUUGGAGAAAUGACUGUAGGGGAAACUUUGGAAUUUUCUGCAAGAUGUCAAGGAGUUGGCUCUAGAUUUGAGAUGUUGACUGGACUAUCAAAAAGAGAGAAAGCUGCUUAUAUCAAACCAGAUCCUCAUAUUGAUAUUUACAUGAAGAUAUUGGGACUUGAUAUUUGUGCUGAUACUAUGGUGGGAGAUGAAAUGAUAAGGGGUAUUUCAGGAGGUCAAAAGAAACGUGUAACAACCGGUGAAAUGCUUGUUGGACCGUCAAAGGGUGGUUGAAUAGAAGUUGCAGCUCUUUCAGUCUUGAUGAGGAUUGGUUGAUGCAAAAGAGAUCAUGUGAUGGAAAUUCCAGCAAAGCAAAGGAUGGAGCGACAACAAACUUUAACUAGAGAGCAUAUUUAGGAUUUGUUUUACGUCGUUCUUGCCUUUUGAAACUUUUUGUACCAACAAAUGUCAUAUCAAUAUACUAUAUUUUUAGAAUCUGUACAAAUAAGUCUUACCAACACAAUGUAUGUAAUCUUUGUUCCACAUAAUAUGAAGCAUAACGCCGUAUCAUGUAA